rnacentral:lncRNA from 1 species
GAUGUUCUAUUGCAGCAGCAGGAAGGAAACUAGAACAGGUGUCUUCCUUGAUGUUUUUUCACUUUAUUUUUUGAGAUAAGGCCUUUCAUUGGGCCUGGAGCUCAUGAUUGAUUAGACUGGCUUGGCCAGCAAGCUUCAGGGAUGCAUGUGAACCUGUAGCCCCAGCACUGGGGUUAAAGAUGCUUACCAAUGUGCCUGGCUCUUACCCACUGAGUCAUUGCUUUCCCCAGUCCUCACUCUUGCUCCUAAGUGCAAAAGUCCCAUCAGAUGUGAGUACUGUAUUCACAGAGUAGUCUAUCUACUCAGACAAGUAAGUGACCAUGCAUCCAAACAUUUCUAAGAUUUGUUCUUAGAACACUCUUAAAAGCAAGCUACUUAUUGAAACAUCUUGUUUGUUUGAAGACAAGUUUCAUGUAGCCCAGGCUGGCCUGCACUUCUGAUCCUCCUGUUUCUACCUCCCAAGUGUUGAUCACAAUGAGUGGAAUUUUUUUUCUUCCUGUGCACAUGGAUGUCUGUGAGUCCCAGGCCAGCCUUUCUACAAUUGAGUUCUAGGACAACCAGAGCUGUGUAAUGAAGCCCUUUCUCCAGAAAAAAAAAAGUUAUAUAAAAUGUUUUAUAGUAUGUCUUUAUUAAUAUGUAAUUUUAAAAAAUAAAUAAAUAAUCACGAGUGCUGGGAUUAAAGGCAUAUGCUACCAAUGCCUAGCAAGCUUGGGAGGCAGUAGCAGGCCGAUCUCUGAGUCUGAGGUCAGCCUGGUCUACAGAGUUCCAGUUCAGCCAGGGAUACAUAGAGAAACCAUGUUUACGCCGGGCAGUGGUGGUGCACGCCUUUAAUCCCAGCACUCGGGAGGCAGAGGCAGGUGGAGAGUUCAAGGCCAUCCUGGUCUACACAGUUAGUUGCAGGACAGCCUCCAAAGCCACAGAGAAACCCUUGUCUCAAAAAAACAAAACCAAACAAAAAAAAAAGGAGAAACCAUGUUAGAAAAAAAGGAAGGAAGGAAGAGAAAGAAAGAAAGGAAACUGAUACUUUGUAAUGGUACACUAUAAAAGAACCAGGAAAGUAAAGUUGCAGUCUCCCCAUGAACUGUAUUUAUGGUUUAAAGUUCUGAUACUAAAAGAGCUUAAAUUAGGAAAUGAUUAUUUUUUAAAGUUCAAACUUAACAGAGAUAAGGUUGCAAGUCCUAACUUUUUUUUUGGUUUUUCGAGACAGGGUUUCUCUGUGGCUUUGGAGGCUGUCCUGGAACUAGCUCUUGUAGAGCAGGCUGAUCUCGAACUCACAGAGAUCUACCUACCCUCUGCCUCCCAAGUGCUGGGAUUAAAGGCAUGCGCCACCAACGCCCGGCUUGCAAAUCCUAACUUAUUUUAACCUAUUAAAGAUAAUUAAAACAUGAAAGUUAAUGGUCAGUCACCUUAUAUAUUAUCCAAUUCUUUAAUGUUCUCAGAACUAUGCUUGUUCAAAUGUAAUUCAUUUACAACAACAGUUUUAUUUAGCCUCCUGUAUGUGUUUUUAAGGUUAAGUCUAAAACUUGUAACUAAGAACAAAGUUUGUUUAAAAUCAGGUAUAUUUAGUAGAUUGCUGUUCACAGACUCUUCAGAGAUCUUCUGAAUGUGGCAUUUAAAGGUUUAAAGGUUCUGACUAUCUUGUGAUAGUCAGAAAUGCCGGCUCCUAGAGGCCAUCCUAAGGUCUCCAAAGAAGACUAUGGGGCACAGAUGAUGCUACCUGGAUUGUGGUAAUGCUAACCACUAAGGAAACACUGCCCCCUGCCUCAGCUGCCACCAGGACCCUGCCCAAACUGUGGGCAAGCAGGACACUGGAGAGUGCCACACUUUGCCUAGACAAGCUAGGCCAGUCCCCCAAGUUCCUCCACCACUGGAAAGUCUCUCAGAUCAUCUGGGCUUAGCAGUCAAAGACUGACACUGCUCUGGGACCUCUGCUCACAACUAAGCCAUCGAGACCCCAGGAGCCUAGGGUAACUGUCUAGGUAAUGGCACCAGGGUGGUGGCACACACCUUUAAUCCCAGCACUGGAGAGGCAGAAGCAGGUGAAUCUGUGUUGGAGGCCAGCCUGGUCUACAGAGCAAGUUCCAAGAUGGCCAGGGCUACACAGAGAAACCCUGUCUCAAAAAAAUAUAUAUGUAAGAUUCAG